rfam:Methylobacterium sp. Leaf93 contig_1, whole genome shotgun sequence.
UGACGGGUCCGGGCCCCUCUGGCGGCCGAGGCGUCGGCCGCGAUGUCGGACUCCUUCU